rnacentral:rRNA from 1 species
UAGGGAAUCUUCCGCAAUGGGCGAAAGCCUGACGGAGCAACGCCGCGUGAGUGAUGAAGGUCUUCGGAUCGUAAAACUCUGUUAUAGGGAAGAACAAAUGUGUAAGUAACUAUGCACGUCUUGACGGUACCUAAUCAGAAAGCCACGGCUAACUACGUGCCAGCAGCCGCGGUAAUACGUAGGUGGCAAGCGUUAUCCGGAAUUAUUGGGCGUAAAGCGCGCGUAGGCGGUUUUUUAAGUCUGAUGUGAAAGCCCACGGCUCAACCGUGGAGGGUCAUUGGAAACUGGAAAACUUGAGUGCAGAAGAGGAAAGUGGAAUUCCAUGUGUAGCGGUGAAAUGCGCAGAGAUAUGGAGGAACACCAGUGGCGAAGGCGACUUUCUGGUCUGUAACUGACGCUGAUGUGCGAAAGCGUGGGGAUCAAACAGG